rnacentral:rRNA from 1 species
CGACGGGUGAGUAACACGUAUGCAAUCCACCUGUAACAGGGGGAGUAACCCGGAGAAAUCCGGACUAAUACCCCAUAAUAUGGGCGCUCCGCAUGGAGAGCCCAUUAAAGAGAGCAAUUUUGGUUACAGACGAGCAUGCGCUCCAUUAGCCAGUUGGCGGGGUAACGGCCCACCAAAGCGACGAUGGAUAGGGGUUCUGAGAGGAAGAUCCCCCACAUUGGAACUGAGACACGGUCCAA